rnacentral:rRNA from 1 species
CACGGACCAAGGAGUCUAACAUGUACGCGAGUCAUUGGGAUCAGCGAUACCUAAAGGCGUAAUGAAAGUGAAGGUCGGCCCUGGUUGUCGACCGAGGGAGGAUGGGCCGCGUCGCGAUGCGGCUCCGCACUCCCGGGGCGUCUCGUUCUCAUUGCGAGAAGAGGCGCACCCAGAGCGUACACGUUGGGACCCGAAAGAUGGUGAACUAUGCCUGGUCAGGACGAAGUCAGGGGAAACCCUGAUGGAGGUCCGUAGCGAUUCUGACGUGCAAAUCGAUCGUCGGAACUGGGUAUAGGGGCGAAAGACUAAUCGAACCAUCUAGUAGCUGGUUCCCUCCGAAGUUUCCCUCAGGAUAGCUGGCACUCGGCCGUUCCGCACGGAACGCGCGCGAGUCUCAUCUGGUAAAGCGAAUGAUUAGAGGCCUUGGGGCCGAAACGACCUCAACCUAUUCUCAAACUUUAAAUGGGUGAGAUCUCUGGCUUUCUUGAACUAUGAAGCCACGAGCAUCUCGGAUCAGAGUGCCAAGUGGGCCAUUUUUGGUAAGCAGA